rnacentral:rRNA from 1 species
UACAGAGGUCUCAAGCGUUGUUCGGAUUCAUUGGGCGUAAAGGGUGUGUAGGUGGCGCCGUAAGUCAGGUGUGAAAUUUCGGAGCUUAACUCCGAAACUGCAUUUGAUACUGCGGUGCUUGAGGACUGGAGAGGAGACUGGAAUUCAUGGUGUAGCAGUGAAAUGCGUAGAGAUCAUGAGGAAGACCAGUGGCGAAGGCGGGUCUCUGGACAGUUCCUGACACUGAGACACGAAGGCCAGGGGAGCAAACGGG